rnacentral:rRNA from 1 species
UAAGGAAUAUUGGUCAAUGGAGGCAACUCUGAACCAGCCAUGCCGCGUGCAGGAAGACUGCCCUAUGGGUUGUAAACUGCUUUUAUCCGGGAAUAAACCACAUUACGUGUAAUGUGCUGAAUGUACCGGAAGAAUAAGGAUCGGCUAACUCCGUGCCAGCAGCCGCGGUAAUACGGAGGAUCCAAGCGUUAUCCGGAUUUAUUGGGUUUAAAGGGUGCGUAGGCGGCCUGUUAAGUCAGGGGUGAAAGACGGUAGCUCAACUAUCGCAGUGCCCUUGAUACUGAUGGGCUUGAAUGGACUAGAGGUAGGCGGAAUGAGACAAGUAGCGGUGAAAUGCAUAGAUAUGUCUCAGAACACCGAUUGCGAAGGCAGCUUACUAUGGUCUUAUUGACGCUGAGGCACGAAAGCGUGGGGAUCAAACA